rnacentral:misc_RNA from 1 species
GAAAUGCGAUAAGUAAUGUGAAUUGCAGAAUUCAGUGAAUCAUCGAAUCUUUGAACGCACCUUGCGCUCCUUGGUAUUCCUUGGAGCAUGCCUGUUUGAGUAUCAUGAAAUCUUCAAAGUAAAUCUUUUGUUAACUCAAUUGGUUUCUACUUUGGUAUUGGAGGUCUUUGCAGCUUCACACCUGCUCCUCUUUGUUCAUUAGCUGGAUCUCAGUGUUAUGCUUGGUUCCACUCGGCGUGAUAAGUUAUCUAUCGCUGAGGACACUGUAAAAGGUGGCCAAGGUAAAUGCAGAUGAACCACUUCUAAUAGUCCAUUGACUUGGACAAUACUUUUAUGAUCUGAUCUCAAAUCAGGUAGGACUACCCGCUGAACUUUAGC